rnacentral:lncRNA from 1 species
GGCGGCUCGGGAGAGGCGCCCGCGGUCUGGGGCGGCGCGCGGCGUGUCGCCCGCGCUCCGAGCGGCGCCCUCUCUCCGAGACUCCGGGAACCUCUGCAGCUCGAAGGUGAGCCCCGGGGGCU